rnacentral:rRNA from 1 species
AACGUAGGAGGCGAGCGUUAUCCGGAUUCACUGGGCGUAAAGCGCGCGUAGGCGGUUGGUUAAGUCGAUCGUGAAAGCCCUCGGCUCAACUGGGGGAGGUCGUUCGAUACUGGCCGGCUUGAGGGUGAGAGAGGGGAGUGGAAUUCCCGGUGUAGCGGUGGAAUGCGUAGAGAUCGGGAGGAACACCAGUGGCGAAGGCGGCUCCCUGGCUCAUUCCUGACGCUGAGAGCGCGAAAGUGUGGGGA